GAUGAAGAACGUAGCGAAAUGCGAUACUUGGUGUGAAUUGCAGAAUCCCGUGAACCAUCGAGUCUUUGAACGCAAGUUGCGCCCGAAGCCAUUAGGCCGAGGGCACGCCUGCCUGGGCGUCACACGUCGUUGCCCCCCCAUCUAAUCCUUCGGGAUUGCGGGGGGCGGAUGAUGGCCUCCCGUGCGCCUCGUCGCGCGGUUGGCAUAAAUGCCAAGUCCUCGGCGACGCACGCCACGACAAUCGGUGGUUGCGAAACCUCGGUUGCCCGUCGUGUGCGGUCGUCGCGCAUCGAGGGCUCGAAAAAAUUGCCGGGCUCCGGCUCGACCUUCAACGCGACCCCAGGUCAGGCGGGGUUACCCGCUGAAUUUAAGCAUAUCAAUAAGCGGAGGA
rnacentral:misc_RNA from 1 species